rnacentral:rRNA from 1 species
UACAGAGGGGGCAAGCGUUGUUCGGAAUUACUGGGCGUAAAGGGUGCGUAGGCGGCUUUGUAAGUCAGUGGUGAAAUACUCUAGCUUAACUAGAGGGGUGCCAUUGAUACUGCGGAGCUUGAGUACAGAUGAGGUAGGCGGAAUUGACGGUGUAGCGGUGAAAUGCAUAGAUAUCGUCAAGAACACCGAUAGCGAAGGCAGCUUACUGGGCUGUAACUGACGCUGAUGCACGAAAGUGUGGGGAUCAAACAGG